CAGAUGAGCUCAACGGACACCACUCAGAACGCUUAGCCUCUUGCAGCAGAAGCAGAAAGAAAUGCAGUCUCCAUUUGUGGUCCUUAGUGGCGAGCAACCGUCUCAAAAACGAAACUGAAAAUUCUUCAUGAAAUAUGCCAGCACCAACUCUGAACUUUGGCGUGGACUUAUGUUUUUAUUCACAGAGAUGUUGGGUUUUCAGACUUCAUCCAUCGUC